UAAUCUACCACUAAGAACUGAGGAGUCUAUAUUUAAAGAAAUACAGGGUUACAGCCCUGUGUCUCAUCCAUCAGAAACUGCAAAAGAGGGGACUUCAUCAGAGGUGCAGAACAUCAACUGGGCCACGUCAGGUUUCUCAAAUGACCAUGUCAUAGAUACCAGUUGGAUGAACAUACUCGCAUUUUCUCUGAAGCACAAUGUAACAGGGGCUUUAAUUGAGGACUU